AGUGAACGCUGGCGGUAGGCCUAACACAUGCAAGUCGAACGGCAGCACAGUAAGAGCUUGCUCUUACGGGUGGCGAGUGGCGGACGGGUGAGGAAUACAUCGGAAUCUACUUUUUCGUGGGGGAUAACGUAGGGAAACUUACGCUAAUACCGCAUACGACCUACGGGUGAAAGCAGGGGUUCUUCGGACCUUGCGCGAUUGAAUGAGCCGAUGUCGGAUUAGCUAGUUGGCGGGGUAAAGGCCCACCAAGGCGACGCUCCGUAGCUGGUCUGAGAGGAUGAUCAGCCACACUGGAACUGAGACACGGUCCAGACUCCUACGGGAGGCAGCAGUGGGAAAUAUUGGACAAGGGGCGCAAGCCUGAUCCAGCCAUACCGCGUGGGUGAAGAAGGCCUUCGGGUUGUAAAGCCCUUUUGUUGGGAAAGAAAAGCAGCAGGUUAAUACCCCGCUGUUCUGACGGUACCCAAAGAAUAAGCACCGGCAAACUUCGU
rnacentral:rRNA from 1 species